AGAGUUUGAUCAUGGCUCAGAGCGAACGCUGGCGGCAGGCUUAACACAUGCAAGUCGAACGGACGCAGCAAUGCGUCAGUGGCAGACGGGUGAGUAACACGUGGGAACGUGCCCUUCGGUUCGGAACAACCCAGGGAAACUUGGGCUAAUACCGGAUACGUCCGCAAGGAGAAAGAUUUAUCGCCGAAGGAUCGGCCCGCGUCUGAUUAGCUUGUUGGUGAGGUAACGGCUCACCAAGGCGACGAUCAGUAGCUGGUCUGAGAGGAUGAUCAGCCACACUGGGACUGAGACACGGCCCAGACUCCUACGGGAGGCAGCAGUGGGGAAUAUUGGACAAUGGGCGCAAGCCUGAUCCAGCCAUGCCGCGUGGGUGAUGAAGGCCUUAGGGUUGUAAAGCCCUUUCGGCGGGGAAGAUAAUGACGGUACCCGCAGAAGAAGCCCCGGCUAACUUCGUGCCAGCAGCCGCGGUAAUACGAAGGGGGUUAGCGUUGCUCGGAAUCACUGGGCGUAAAGCGCACGUAGGCGGAUUGCUAAGUCAGGGGUGAAAUCCUGGAGCUCAACUCCAGAACUGCCCUUGAUACUGGCGACCUUGAGUCCGGGAGAGGUGAGUGGAAUUGCGAGUGUAGAGGUGAAAUUCGUAGAUAUUCGCAAGAACACCAGUGGCGAAGGCGGCUCACUGGCCCGGUACUGACGCUGAGGUGCGAAAGCGUGGGGAGCAAACAGGAUUAGAUACCCUAGUAGUCC
rnacentral:rRNA from 1 species